GAUGAAGAACGUAGCGAAAUGCGAUACGUAAUGCGAAUUGCAGAAUUCAGUGAAUCAUCGAAUCUUUGAACGCAUAUUGCGCUCUCUGGUAUUCCGGAGAGCAUGCUUGUUUGAGUAUCAGUAAACACCUCAACUUCCAUAUCUUUUUUGAAAUGGGAGUUGGACUUGAGUGAUCCCAACGCUUUUCCUCACCGAAAAGUGGCGGGUUACUUGAAAUGCAGGUGCAGCUGGACUUUUCUCUGAGCUAUAAGCAUAUCUAUUUAGUCUGCCUAAAAAACAGAUUAUUACCUUUGCUGCAGCUAACAUAAAGGAGAUUAGUUCUUGUGCUGACUGAUGCAGGAUUCACAAAGACAGGCUUCGGCCGACUUUGUAAACUCGAUCUCAAAUCAAGUAAGACUACCCGCUGAACUUAAGCAUAUCAAUAAGCGGAGGA
rnacentral:misc_RNA from 1 species